GAUGAACGCUGGCGGCGUGCCUAAUACAUGCAAGUCGUACGGAAAGGCCCUUCGGGGUACUCGAGUGGCGGACGGCUGAGUAACGCGUGGGAACGUGCCCCAAAGUGAGGGAUAACGCACCGAAAGGUGUGCUAAUACCGCAUAUGGUCUUCGGAUUAAAGCUUCGGCGCUUUGGGAGCGGCCCGCGUACGAUUAGAUAGUUGGUGAGGUAAUGGCUCACCAAGUCGACGAUCGUUAGCUGGUCUGAGAGGAUGAUCAGCCAGACUGGGACUGAGACACGGCCCAGACUCCUACGGGAGGCAGCAGUAAGGAAUCUUCCACAAUGGGGGCAACCCUGAUGGAGCAACGCCGCGAGCAGGAUGAAGGUUUUCGGAUCGUAAACUGCUUUUAUAAGUGAAGAAUAUGACGGUAACUUAUGAAUAGGGAUCGGCUAACUACGUGCCAGCCGCCGCGGUAA
rnacentral:rRNA from 1 species